rnacentral:lncRNA from 1 species
GCGAGAGGAGGGCAGAGAUGUGGACCCACACAGAGGCCACGCCGGGGCUGAGCAAGGACGGCCCCGGAUAGGGCGGGCUUAGAGAGGGGCACGGAGGCUGGACCCUGGCCUUGAAGGAGCCCCUGCAAGGUGGGGGCUGCACUGGGGUUGUGGCAGGGGAACAUGUGGACCACAGAAAGCAUCACACCUGGGCUGGUGCUGGACAUCCCCAGCACCAACCACACCUUCUCAUCGCCAGGGCCUCCUGUUCAGGCUGCUUGGACUCUCAAGCUCUGUCUGCUUUGUUCCUACUUGGCAGAACUGGGCGCCUCUCAGCACUCACUUGGAGACGUGGGGUCGGAACUCUGGUGGCCUGGUGCCUCUCCCAGCCAGGUACUGACUCGUCCCACGACCCGGCAGCAGCCUGAGGAUCUCAGGAAUCUGUCCCCUCGCCUUGCCUUUCCCUGAACACGGGCCCAAUGUGGGCCACCUUCACUCUCGCUUCACACCAAAAGCUAAGAAAGCCUAGAAGGUUCAUACGGGUGGGGCCAGACAGCCCCCAGCUGGCCUUACAGUGUGAAGGGAACUCCCUGAGAGAAGGGAAAGCAAAGCUGUCAUAUCAGGGGUCCCCGGACCCAGCCUUGGUGGGGCCCUGCCCUGCCGACACCCAUGGCUUCCAGCAACAAAGCUGAAUACAGGUGUCUCCGCCUGCACGCGGGCCCCCUCCUGGCACCCUGAAGCCCAGCUGCACCCGCCUGCUCAGGGUCCCUCUCAAAUGCCCCUUGGCCUCUGUGACCUGACCCCUCCAGGAGCCCACCCUGGCCCCUCCCCUCCUCCAUAGGAACUUCACUCAUCCUUGGAGCCCAACCAAGCGUCUUCCUCUGCCCUCCUCCCUUCUGUGCCCUCCUCCCUCCUCCCUUCUGUGCCCUCCUCCCUCCUCCCUGGCAGGGCUCAGGGCCUUGCACUCCUCCAUGAGCUGUCUGUGCUCCUCUGUGCACGGCUCUCAGCCUGAGUCCAGGCACUGCCUCUCCCUGAGUCCCUCACCCCAGACUUGGGGGGCUCUGAGGGCCUGGACUCAUGGGUGUCUUCUAUGCCCAGCACAGGACCUGGAUGAAUGAACACACACCCUUCCUUUCCCAGGCUCUGCCGUGUCUUCUGUCAAAGCAUCAGAAAUCAGGGGCUUUGGCAGGACAACUGAAAUGGUAUAGCGGCUGCAGCAAAGCCUGGAGUCCAACUUACGUCCACGUCUCACAAGAUGGAGUUUUGCUCAUGUCACCCAGGCUGGAGUGCAAUGG